rnacentral:pre_miRNA from 1 species
GAUUUCAAACAAAAAAGUUUUGAAUACAAAGAUUGAUGUACUCAUUCAUAUCUAUAAUUGUUAUUUAGAACUUUUGUGCAUCUGAUGAAGUGGUGAGAACUUUGUUCUCAAAUUAUACUCAUCCAUAUCAUAGUUGAUGAGAGUAUGAGUGGGAUGAGUAGAAUUUGAGAAUAAAGUUAUCAUCACUUUCUCGGAUGCACAAAAAUCCUAAAUAACAAUUGUAGAUAUGAAAGAGUAGAUCAAUCUUUGUAUUCAAAACUUUUCUGUUUGAAAUA